GUGAGUUUACGGGGAAAGGUUCGCUGGGACGGCGAACUUUUCUGUUGAAACCUAACCUAUUGUUAACUAUGUAAAUAUACUUAUGUAGUUAUGACAUUAACGAUAGGAGAAUACCUUUUCGUAGUGUUUUCCAGGUUUUGUUAAUGUCCCAUAAUCGAGCAGAGUUUCCUCUUUGCUCAUUUGGUUAGUUCGCUCUUCAUCCAAUUAAAAUUGAAAGGGUAUUGUAAACUCUUUAUUUUUAU
rnacentral:telomerase_RNA from 1 species